rnacentral:misc_RNA from 1 species
UAGGGAGACCUAAUCCAUUUAGAAAUCGAAAACAAUGAAAAUUGUCAAUAGAAACUAAAUUGGUCUAACCUAGGUCGUUCGAGAUUGGUAGACAUCUUUCAAAGUAUUAUUCGGCUUCGUUCAAAACCAUAUAUAAUAAAUGGAAAAAGACAGCACCUAAUUGCCAAAGUUAGACUGCUGGAUGAAAUUCCAGCCAGAACCUUGAAAACUGCAUAAGAGAACGAGAAAAAGCAGGCAGACACAGACAUUUAGAUGGAUGUGAAAGCAAAAGAAAUUGU